rnacentral:rRNA from 1 species
CCAGCUCCAAUAGCGUAUAUUUAAGUUGUUGCAGUUAAAAAGCUCGUAGUUGGAUUUCGGGUGGGUGCUACCGGUCCGCCUCUGGUGUGUACUGGUAGCGCCCAUCUUUCUGCCGGGGACGGCUUCCUGGGCUUCACUGUCUGGGAGUCGGAGUCGGCGUGGUUACUUUGAGUAAAAUAGAGUGUUCAAAGCAAGCCUACGCUCUGAAUACAUUAGCAUGGAAUAACACGAUAGGACUCUGGCCUAUCUUGUUGGUCUGUAGGACCGGAGUAAUGAUUAAGAGGGACAGUCGGGGGCAUUCGUAUUUCAUUGUCAGAGGUGAAAUUCUUGGAUUUAUGAAAGACGAACUUCUGCGAAAGCAUUUGCCAAGGAUGUUUUCA